AUGCACCUUAUUCUAGUUUUGUUUUGAUCGCAGGUAAUUUACCUAUUGCAAUUCGCACACAAGGUCGCGUACUAUCGACGCGUUGGCUUUGCGCAUCUCUUGCUUUCUUAUCAUAUACUAUCCCGUCGUUGUUUACGCAGUUUCAGCAUGCACUAUCGAUGGAAUACAGCCAGUUUCGUGCCGGUCGCUGGUUAGUCCAGUCGUGUUUUGAGAGACUUUUAUCGUGUUUAUUCGGACUUCAAUAUUCUAAAUUUGUGUUAUACUCGAAGAUCUAUUGACUAUUUAUUUGUACUUUGCGACUAUAGUAAUUUGUUUAAUGUUCAUAAAUGCCGGGUUUUGAUCGCGAUUGAUGUGUAUAUUACAAGUCACGUGAUAGUGGAUCUGAUAACAUUCUUCACGCGGCGUUGUGUUUGGUGUCGGUUGCUAAAGUGAUCGGAUAUUUAUCGCCCCCAUGUAGAUUCUCAUCAUUAAGACAGUUCCAUCAGACUCGUUUACAGCACUCGAUGUACACGGCUGUCCGAUAAGCUGUACCCUGUAUUUACCGUGCCUUCGAGUCCCAUGAAUUCUGCAUUGUUGUUGGAUGAAGCAUUGGCUAAUCCUGAGAGCCAAGUUUAUCAACAAGGACCAACUAGAGAGGUUCCGUAGUUCUGGUGGAGUGCGUUUUGAGGAUGAUGUUUUGAUUACUGAAGAUGGAUGUGUCAACUGGACUAAAGUUCCAAGAAGUGUCCAAGAAAUUGAAGAUUGGAUAGCCGGCGUUGAUGAUGAUUCCAAAUACGAUUGAAUGAAUUUACAACAUUUUGAAGCUGCUAUUGAUAUAAUUUUUGUUUAUUUUGUUAAAAGUUAUAAAAAGAGCAUUAUAUAAUUGCAUAUUAUUAUCCUGCUUUCUUGCUUGUAUUGUUAAAAAUGCUGUAUAUAUUAUGAAAUUUCGUUUCUGAUUCUAUAUGUUUGAAUAAAAUUGUAGUUUUAUAAA